GACGAACGCUGGCGGCGUGCUUAACACAUGCAAGUCGAACGGAAAGGCCCCUUUGGGGGUACUCGAGUGGCGAACGGGUGAGUAACACGUGAGUAACCUGCCCUUGACUUCGGGAUAACUUCAGGAAACUGGGGCUAAUACCGGAUAGGAAUCCUUGCUGCAUGGUGGGGGUUGGAAAGCUUCGGCGGUUUUGGAUGGACUCGCGGCUUAUCAGCUUGUUGGUGGGGUAGUGGCUUACCAAGGCUUUGACGGGUAGCCGGCCUGAGAGGGCGACCGGCCACAUUGGGACUGAGAUACGGCCCAGACUCCUACGGGAGGCAGCAGUGGGGAAUAUUGCACAAUGGGCGGGAGCCUGAUGCAGCAACGCCGCGGGCGGGAUGACGGCCUUCGGGUUGGAAACCGCUUUCAGCAGGGGCGAAGCUUGUGGUGACGGUACCUGCAGAAGAAGCACCGGCUAACUACGUG
rnacentral:rRNA from 1 species